UACGUAGGGGGCAAGCGUUGUCCGGAUUUAUUGGGCGUAAAGAGCUCGUAGGCGGUUUGUUGCGUCGGCUGUGAAAUCCCGAGGCUCAACCUCGGGUCUGCAGUCGAUACGAGCAAACUAGAGUGUUGCAGGGGAGACUGGAAUUCCUGGUGUAGCGGUGAAAUGCGCAGAUAUCAGGAGGAACACCGAUGGCGAAGGCAGCUCGCUGGGACGGUACUGACGCUGAGGCGCGAAAGCGUGGGGAGCAAACAGG
rnacentral:rRNA from 1 species